rnacentral:rRNA from 1 species
UGGGGAAUAUUGGACAAUGGGCGAAAGCCUGAUCCAGCCAUGCCGCGUGUGUGAAGAAGGUCUUCGGAUUGUAAAGCACUUUAAGUUGGGAGGAAGGGCAUUAACCUAAUACGUUAGUGUUUUGACGUUACCGACAGAAUAAGCACCGGCUAACUCUGUGCCAACAGCCGCGGUAAUACAGAGGGUGCAAGCGUUAAUCGGAAUUACUGGGCGUAAAGCGCGCGUAGGUGGUUUGUUAAGUUGGAUGUGAAAUCCCCGGGCUCAACCUGGGAACUGCAUUCAAAACUGACUGACUAGAGUAUGGUAGAGGGUGGUGGAAUUUCCUGUGUAGCGGUGAAAUGCGUAGAUAUAGGAAGGAACACCAGUGGCGAAGGCGACCACCUGGACUAAUACUGACACUGAGGUGCGAAAGCGUGGGGAGCAAACA